rnacentral:rRNA from 1 species
GCGGACCGUACCGCAAACCGACACUGGUGGGCGAGCUGAAUAUGCUCAGGCGCUUGAGAGAACUCGGGAGAAGGAACUCGGCAAAUUGACACCGUAACUUCGGAAGAAGGUGUGCCGUAGUACCGUGAGAGGAGAGACACCUUGAGCGGGAAACGGUCUCAGAGAAUAGGUGGCUGCGACUGUUUAUUAAAAACACAGCACUCUGCAAAGUCGAAAGACGACGUAUAGGGUGUGAUGCCUGCCCGGUGCUGGAAGAUUAAUUGAUGGGGUGAGAGCCCUUGAUCGAAGUCCCAGUAAACGGCGGCCGUAACUAUAACGGUCCUAAGGUAGCGAAAUUCCUUGUCGGGUAAGUUCCGACCUGCACGAAUGGCAUAACGAUGGCCACACUGUCUCCUCCCGAGACUCAGUGAAGUUGAAAUGUUUGUGAUGAUGCAAUCUACCCGCGGCUAGACGGAAAGACCCCAUGAACCUUUACUGCAGCUUUGCAUUGAACUGUGAACCGAUUUGUGUAGGAUAGGUGGGAGGCAGAGAAGAGGCCACGCCAGUGGUCUUGGAGCCGGCCUUGAAAUACCACCCUGAUUUGUUUGCGGUUCUAACCACGGACAGUGAUCCUGUCUUGGGACCGUGCAUGGUAGGCAGUUUGACUGGGGCGGUCUCCUCCUAAAGGGUAACGGAGGAGUACGAAGGUACGCUAGGUACGGUCGGAAAUCGUGCUGAUAGUGCAAUGGCAGAAGCGUGCUUGACUGCGAGAGCAACAACUCGAGCAGAUGCGAAAGCAGGUCAUAGUGAUCCGGUGGCUCUGAAUGGAAGGGCCAUCGCUCAACGGAUAAAAGGUACUCUGGGGAUAACAGGCUGAUACCGCCCAAGAGUUCAUAUCGACGGCGGUGUUUGGCACCUCGAUGUCGGCUCAUCUCAUCCUGGGGCUGUAGUCGGUCCCAAGGGUAUGGCUGUUCGCCAUUUAAAGAGGUACGUGAGCUGGGUUUAAAACGUCGUGAGACAGUUUGGUCCCUAUCUGCCGUGGGCGUUGGAAGAUUGACGGGGGCUGCUCCUAGUACGAGAGGACCGGAGUGGACGCACCUCUGGUGUACCGGUUGUCACGCCAGUGGCAUUGCCGGGUAGCUAAGUGCGGAAGAGAUAACCGCUGAAAGCAUCUAAGCGGGAAACUUGCCUGAAGAUGAGUCUUCCCGGAGGUUGAACCUCCCUCAAGAGUCGUCCGAGACCAGGACGUCGAUAGGUCAGGUGUGUAAGCGCUGUAAGGCGUUGAGCUAACUGAUACUAAUUGCUCGUGAGGCUUGAUCCU